rnacentral:rRNA from 1 species
UCCCCUAGUAACUGCGAGUGAAGCGGGAAAAGCUCAAAUUUGAAAUCUGGCAGUCUUUGGCUGUCCGAGUUGUAAUCUAGAGAAGUAUUAUCCGCGCUGGACCGUGUACAAGUCUCCUGGAAUGGAGCGUCAUAGAGGGUGAGAAUCCCGUCUUUGACACGGACUGCCAGGGCUUUGUGAUGUGCUCUCAAAGAGUCGAGUUGUUUGGGAAUGCAGCUCAAAAUGGGUGGUAAAUUCCAUCUAAAGCUAAAUACUUGCGAGAGACCGAUAGCGAACAAGUACCGUGAGGGAAAGAUGAAAAGAACUUUGGAAAGAGAGUUAAACAGUACGUGAAAUUGCUGAAAGGGAAACGCUUGAAGUCAGUCGUGUUGGCCAGGGAUCAACCUUGCUUAUUUUUUUUUGCUUGGCUUACUUUCUGGUCAAUGGGUCAGCAUCAAUUUUGACUGGUGGAAAAAGUUCAAGGGAAUGUGGCAUCUUUGGAUGUGUUAUAGCCUUUGUUCACAUACAUUGGUUGGGAUUGAGGAACUCAGCACGCCGCAAGGCCGGGUUUUUAACCACGUACGUGCUCAGGAUGCUGGCAUAAUGGCUUUAAUCGACCCGUCUUGAAACACGGACCAAGGAGUCUAACAUGCCUGCGAGUGUUUGGGUGAAAAACCCGAGCGCGUAAUGAAAGUGAAAGUUGAGAUCCCUGUCGUGGGGAGCAUUGACGCCCGGAUCUGACCUUUUGUGACGAUUCUGCGGUUGAGCAUGCAUGUUGGGACCCGAAAGAUGGUGAACUAUGCCUGAAUAGGGUGAAGCCAGAGGAAACUCUGGUGGAGGCUCGUAGCGAUUCUGACGUGCAAAUCGAUCGUCAAAUUUGGGUAUAGGGGCGAAAGACUAAUCG